GCGCCGGUGGUGUAAUGGCAGCCACGUCCGCCUUAGAAGCGGAUGCCUAAUAAGCGUGGAGGUUCGACUCCUCUCUGGCGCA
rnacentral:tRNA from 1 species